rnacentral:rRNA from 1 species
CAGUAGCCGCGGGAAUACGAGGGGGGCAAGCGUUGUUCGGAAUUAUUGGGCGUAAAGGGCGCGUAGGCGGUUUGGCAAGUUUGGUGUGAAAUCUUCGGGCUCAACUCGAAGUCUGCACCGAAAACUGCCAAGCUUGAGUAUGGGAGAGGUGAGUGGAAUUUCCGGUGUAGCGGUGAAAUGCGUAGAUAUCGGAAGGAACACCUGUGGCGAAAGCGGCUCACUGGACCAUUACUGACGCUGAGGCGCGAAAGCUAGGGGAGCAAACAGGAUUAGAUACCCCAGUAGUCCCUGUCUCUUAUAC